rnacentral:lncRNA from 1 species
AUAGAGUAUCCUGAAAUCAAAAAAUAAUAAUAAUAACAAUAACGAUAACAAUAACAAUAAUAAUGAUAAUAGUAAAAACAGGAACUACGUAUUCCUAAUGUCAAAACACAAAUGCAAACGAAAUGAAAGUUUGAAUAAACGAAACAGUAGAUGAAAAAUUCACAAAGGGUGAAACUGCAGAAAAUUUAUCUAGAUUUAAUAAUUAAAAUGCAAUAAUUAAAUUUUGUCUCUCGUGAAAAGUAUUUUUGCAAUUUUUUUUUUUUGUUUUCAACAAUUUUUUUUUACAUCCUUCGUCAUUAGUCAUAUUUCUCCAUUCGAAUUCUGUUUCAUUUUAUUCUCUUUUUUUUUUCCAAUCACGUAUGCUCGCUUUAUAAUAUCGUGUCGAUAUUUCAGCGAGCAGCUUUUCCACGGAUGAAUUAAUAAUAACGAACCUCCGUAACAAUAAUGAUUCCUGAUAUAAUUAUCCAGGAAUAACAACAAAAUUAUAAAUCACAUAUCAAAUGUUAUACAGAUUCGAUAUCAUACACCCUGAUACAUGUAUCAUAUACUUAUACAUAUGAUACAAAUAUGUAUAACAAAUUUUUAAAUAACAAAAGCGUCCAACAAUUAAUUAUUAGAUGCGUUGAGAAAAAACAAUUUACAUAUAUAGAUUAUAUACAUAAUGUAAAGGUAUUGAAAUUGUAUCUAUAGACGCAUCUCUAUAUAUGAUUAAUAUAUGUACAGAUGCUAUGCACAUAUAUAUUAUUCACAACUCUACAAUAUACAUUAAAAACGAAACUAAUUAGAUGGAGAAAGAAAACCAAAAACAAUUAAUUCAUUGAUUCAUUAAAUUCAUACGAAGAAAUGCAUAAGCUACUCAAAUUAGGUGUCAUAUUGAUUAAUAUAGAUAUGGUAACAGUAAAGUAUUUGAUAUUAUACAACAAUAGCAUAUACAACACAGGUAAAAUUAAUGUUGAUAAUUAAUUAAAAUAAUUAAAACGAUAGAAUUAUGUAUAUCUGGCUGCAACGAGCAAUACGCCAUUAUGCUGAAACAAAAUAACGAUACAUAUCGAGAAAUGCCUGCACAUACGUCGUACACGAUAUCAUCAUAUACUUAUAAUAUAUAUGUUUAAUAUCAUUACAGUAUACACGUAGUACCUAUGUAUAACGACGUCUAGAGAUCAGCAAAAGCAGAACAAUUAGAAGUACGUAACAAUAAUAAUAACAAUAAUGAAUAAUAACAAUUCAGCGAAAGAAUAAGAUAAUAUUUUACCUAAUCGUUGCUUAUCAUUUAUUAUAUACCUAUACGCACGUCAUAUCUAAGUAAUAUAUAUUUUCUGUUGGAGAAAUCGUACGUUUCUGAAAGCUGAAAGUUUUUCGCAUCUCCUAAUUAGGUAUAUACAAAUACAAUCGUAGUUUAUUACACGUAGAGGUUUUUUUUUUAAAUUUAUUAACCACUUUUUUCUUUAAUCUAACGUACACAUAUGUAUAGUAUAACUAGAUUAGGUGUAUGUAUGUAUGUAUGUACACGUCGGGGACACGCGUCUGUACAUAGGUAUAGUAUAAAGACAUUCUAUGGAAAUCGUAAACGUUUUUAUGGCCGUUGAGGAGAAGUAAGGAGGCUCUAUAAAAAAGCAGAGAAAAAAAACAAAAUGAUGGAAGGUAAAAAAAAAAGAAAGAAAAAAGUUAUAGCGUACGUAAAAAUUGUAGACCUAAAGUCUUCGCGAAAAUUUUCUAAAGUCUAACGUCGCACAGGUGUACCUAACGUAAUACAUAUAUUUUGAUACGUAUACUAUGUACAAACGUGUGCACAAGCCCAUGUACUCGCACACCUAUGUAUACGUAUGUACAACGAAAUACCCAUACCUGAGAGAGAUGGUGAAAUGGUUUUUUGACUCAUGUACUUCUUUAACAGCAUCUCUUAUUCGCCCCCCCCCCCCCCCCAUACUAUCUAUACUCGUAUAGUGUUUUACGGCUCGAACCCCCGGAGGGUUUUUUAUUUUUCACAAAACCGACAAAAUGUAUACCUCGAAACGACGCGACAAGGGAUGAAAUUUAGACUAGCUCUUUUUUUAUUCACGAAAAAUAUAUAUAAAUAAUUUUUAAAUUUCGAAUUUCGAUACUGGAAGUCAAAGAUGGCCGCACGGGCAGGGCGUGUUGAAAGAGAACGAGGGAAUCCGACGCGAAACUGGAGGGUGAAAAAUUUCAAGUGAAAAAAUGAAAUUCGAAAAAAGAAGGGAAAGGAGCUCGGUAUGUAUAGGACAUUAACAAGGGACAUCAAAGGAUCCGACCGGCACCUUCGCUCGCUCAACCGGAUGAAUAGGAUUUUAUGACAUUUCGCGUUAUAUGUUAAAGGGAACCUGAGAAGUGUAUGUGGGUCGCGGUACCUACCCCGUAAAUAUCCCUCUCUAAUAUUCAAAUAUACUCACACAAGUAUAAGUGGGCGCGUAAAAAUUUUCGUUACGGUGACAACAGAUCCGUAUUUUCUUUAUUCCUAUUCGUCCGGUUAUUAAUUAAUUAAUUCACUUUUCAAGGGAUAGUAUAUUACCGUAUACCUAUUUACGGAUGGGGGAGAUAUUAUUGCACCGAAGGUAGAGUAUGGAAGAAGAAAAAAAUAGAGAAUUGGACAUUCCAAUAAACGGGCGGGAAAAAAUAAACGAAAGAAAAAGCAAUUUUUUUUUUUCUUUUAUAGGGCGUUGAUAAGAAUCCGAUAGCUAAUAAAGUAGUUCACCCUCCGCGCUGACUUUAUUCCCCCUUUUAUUUAUUAUUUUUUCACUUUUUUUACAACCCUUGCGAAUCACUUUAUUUACGAGGGAUAGCUUUCAGCUUUGAAAACGUCCUUAAUAAUCCUUAAGAGGCGUUGCACACAGUUGCAAUAGUUAUACGUCACUGGAACGUACAUAGCCGUGUCACGUAUACCGUUCACACGUACGCGUCGUACGUAUGUACAUAUGAACGCGUAAAGC